UACGUAGGGGGCAAGCGUUGUCCGGAUUUAUUGGGCGUAAAGAGCGUGUAGGCGGCUUGGUAGGUCCGCUGUGAAAACUCGAGGCUCAACCUCGAGAUGUCGGCGGAAACCACUUGGCUAGAGUCCGGAAGAGGAGAGUGGAAUUCCUGGUGUAGCGGUGAAAUGCGUAGAGAUCCGGAGGAACACCAGUGGCGAAGGCGACACGCUGGGCCGUACCUGACGCUAAAGCGCGACAGCAUGGGGAGCAAACGGG
rnacentral:rRNA from 1 species